rnacentral:ribozyme from 1 species
CUCUAGCAACGUGCAGGCACCUCUUCAUGGUGUUAGAGACCAGUAUUCAAGUAUUCCAAGAGUAUUCGAAGAAGCGAGACCUGC